rnacentral:sRNA from 2 species
AUGCACCACCUCAACAUCGCGGGCCUGAGCGCGCCGUCCGCACUCACCUGAUGACGCACGCUACGUUGCGUUAGCC